UACGUAGGGUGCAAGCGUUGUCCGGAAUUAUUGGGCGUAAAGAGCUCGUAGGCGGUUUGUUGCGUCGGCUGUGAAAUCCUCAGGCUUAACCUGGGAACUGCAUCCGAUACUGGAUGGCUUGAAUCCGGGAGAGGGAUGCAGAAUUCCAGGUGUAGCGGUGAAAUGCGUAGAUAUCUGGAGGAAUACCGGUGGCGAAGGCGGCAUCCUGGACCGGCAUUGACGCUGAGGAGCGAAAGCUAGGGGAGCAAACGGG
rnacentral:rRNA from 1 species